AACGUAGGAGACAAACGUUAUCCGGAGUUACUGGGCGUAAAGGGCGUGUAGGUGGUUUUGUAAGUCUGGCGUGAAAUUUUUCGGCUUAACCGGGAAAGGUCGUCGGAUACUGCAGAACUAGAGGACGGUAGAGGCGUGUGGAAUUCCGGGUGUAGCGGUGAAAUGCGCAGAUAUCGGGAGGAACACCGGUGGCGAAGGCGGUUCUCUGGGCCUGUACUGACGCUGAGGAGCGAAAGCGUGGGGAGCGAACAGG
rnacentral:rRNA from 1 species